CAUCGCCCUUUUGUCAAAGGUUGAAACCCUAGAUUUUUUUCUAUUCUCAUCAUCACCGCUGACGAAACCAUAACCCAAUCAUAGCGAUUUUGCAGUUCUUUACUUCAAUCUUUAUGGAUCUACUCUUUUAACCAUGCUUGUCCCUAAGUUGUCUGCAAGCUCUGAAAUCUCGAACAACUAUGGUAGUUAAGAUUGAUUACAUGAAUCUUUACAACUUAUUUUGCUCCAAUUUAGAUGCGUGUCCAAUUGAGGUCUGUGUUGUUCCAAUAUUCAAUCUGUUGUUGGAAUUGAAGAAAUCAUUUGGUGAUCCUUUUGGCAUUUUGUCCAGUUGGAAAUCAAACAAUUCUAGCUAUUGUUCUUGGUAUGGAGUUUCAUGCAAUUAAAUUCAAGGGUUCCAAAACUGCUAAUUAGAGCUUCUGAAAUUUGCAGGAGGAUAUAUUAGAUGUUAUGAAAAGAUGUGUUUCCAUGGAGACAUCACCUAAGUUGCUCGGACUCUUUCAUUUCUAUGCCGCACCCUUGUUGACAAGACAUGGGUGUGGGUGUGGGAUCCAUACCAGAUAUAGUCAACCGAUUUUGGGUACUUAAACCAAAAUAGACAGAGAAAUUUGAGAUACAUAAAAUGAUUUUUGUAAUCUAAACAAAUGCUAAGGUGAAAUUGAAGAAAAUGUAAUACCUUGUAUAUAAAAAUUUCUACGUCAGCCCUUUUCCUUA